rnacentral:rRNA from 1 species
UUCAAUGGAGAGUUUGAUCCUGGCUCAGGACGAACGCUGGCGGCGUGCUUUACACAUGCAAGUCGAACGAUGAAGUUCCUUCGGGAAUGGAUUAGUGGCGAACGGGUGAGGAACACGUGAGAAAUCUGCCCUUCAUUUUGGGAUAACUCCGGGAAACCGGGGCUAAUACCAAAUACUCCAUCCCGGUGGCAUCACUGGGCUGGGAAAGAAUUUCGAUGAAGGUUGAUCUCGCGGCCUAUCAGCUAGUUGGUGAGGUAAUGGCUCACCAAGGCAACGACGGGUAGCCGGCCUGAGAGGGCGACCGGCCACACUGGGACUGAGACACGGCCCAGACUCCUACGGGAGGCAGCAGUGGGGAAUAUUGGGCAAUGGGCGCAAGCCUGACCCAGCGACGCCGCGUGAGGGAUGAAGGUCUUCGGAUUGUAAACCUCUUUCAGUGGGGAAGAAGCGAAAGU